rnacentral:tRNA from 1 species
GGUGGCUCAGUGGUAGAGUGCUUGCCUCCUGUGCAUGAGGAUCUGGGUUUGAUUCCUCAGCC